rnacentral:rRNA from 1 species
CCAAUAGCGUAUAUUAAAGUUGUUGCAGUUAAAAAGCUCGUAGUUGAAUUUCGGGGUCAGUAGGUCGGUCGUGCCUACGGUAUGUACUGGUCUCACUGAUUCCUCCUUCUUGAAGAACCGUAAUGUCAUUAACUUGGUGUUGCGGGGAAACAGGACUGUUACUUUGAAAAAAUUAGAGUGUUUAAAGCAGGCCAACGCCUGAAUACAUUAGCAUGGAAUAAUGAAAUAGGACGUUCGAUCCUAUUUUGUUGGUUUCUAGGAUUGACGUAAUGAUUAAUAGGGAUAGUUGGGGGCAUUAGUAUUCAAUUGUCAGAGGUGAAAUUCUUGGAUUUAUUGAAGACUAACUACUGCGAAAGCAUUUGCCAAGGAUGUUUUCAUUAAUCAAGAACGAAAGUUAGGGGAUCGAAGACGAUCAGAUACCGUCGUAGUCUUAACCAUAAACUAUGCCGACUAGGGAUCGGAUGAUGUUAAUUUUUUAAUGACUCAUUCGGCGCCUUACG